GCGAACAGGAUUAGAUACCCUGGUAGUCCACGCCGUAAACGGUGGAUGCUGGAUGUGGGGCCCGUUCCACGGGUUCCGUGUCGGAGCUAACGCGUUAAGCAUCCCGCCUGGGGAGUACGGCCGCAAGGCUAAAACUCAAAGAAAUUGACGGGGGCCCGCACAAGCGGCGGAGCAUGCGGAUUAAUUCGAUGCAACGCGAAGAACCUUACCUGGGCUUGACAUGUUCCCGACAGCCGUAGAGAUAUGGCCUCCCUUCGGGGCGGGUUCACAGGUGGUGCAUGGUCGUCGUCAGCUCGUGUCGUGAGAUGUUGGGUUAAGUCCCGCAACGAGCGCAACCCUCGCCCCGUGUUGCCAGCGGAUUAUGCCGGGAACUCACGGGGGACCGCCGGGGUUAACUCGGAGGAAGGUGGGGAUGACGUCAGAUCAUCAUGCCCCUUACGUCCAGGGCUUCACGCAUGCUACAAUGGCCGGUACAACGGGAUGCGACACGGCGACGUGGAGCGGAUCCCUGAAAACCGGUCUCAGUUCGGAUUGGAGUCUGCAACCCGACUCCAUGAAGGCGGAGUCGCUAGUAAUCGCGGAUCAGCAACGCCGCGGUGAAUGCGUUCCCGGGCCUUGUACACCCCGCCCGUCAAGUCAUGAAAGUGGGUAGCACCCGAAGCCGGUGGCCUAACCCUUUGUGGAUGGAGCCGUCUAAGGUGAGACUCGUGAUUGGGACUAAGUCGU
rnacentral:rRNA from 1 species